GAUGAACGCUGGCGGCGUGCCUAAUACAUGCAAGUCGAGCGAACAGACGAGGAGCUUGCUCCUCUGACGUUAGCGGCGGACGUGUGAGUAACACGUGUAUAACCUACCUAUAAGACUGGGAUAACUUCGGGAAACCGGAGCUAAUACCGGAUAAUAUAUUGAACCGCAUGGUUCAAUAGUGAAAGACGGCUUUGCUGUCACUGAUAGAUGUAUCCGCGCCGCAUUAGCUAGUUGGUAAGGUAACGGCUUACCAAGGCAACGAUGCGUAGCCGACCUGAGAGGGUGAUCGGCCGCACUAGAACUUAGACGGGGUCCAGAGUCCUGCGGGAGGCAGCAGUAGGGAAUCGUCCGCAAUGGGCGGAAGCCUGACAGAGCAACGCCGCGUGAGUGAUGCAGAUCUUCGGAUCGUAAAAAUCUGUUAUUAGGGAAGAACAAAUGUGUAAGUAAAUGUACACGUCGUGACGGUACCUGAUCAGGAAGCCCCGGCUAACUACGUG
rnacentral:rRNA from 1 species